UAGGGAAUCUUCCGCAAUGGGCGAAAGCCUGACGGAGCAACGCCGCGUGAGUGAUGAAGGUCUUCGGAUCGUAAAACUCUGUUAUUAGGGAAGAACAAAUGUGUAAGUAACUAUGCACGUCUUGACGGUACCUAAUCAGAAAGCCACGGCUAACUACGUGCCAGCAGCCGCGGUAAUACGUAGGUGGCAAGCGGUAUCCGGAAUUAUUGGGCGUAAAGCGCGCGUAGGCGGUCAAUUAAGUCUGAAGUGAAAGCCCCCGGCUCAACCGGGGAGGGUCAUUGGAAACUGGUUGACUUGAGUGCAGAAGAGGAGAGUGGACUUCCAUGUGUAGCGGUGAAAUGCGUAGAUAUAUGGAGGAACACCAGUGGCGAAGGCGACUCUCUGGUCUGUAACUGACGCUGAGGCUCGAAAGCGUGGGUAGCAAACAGG
rnacentral:rRNA from 1 species